AUUGGCCAAAAAAAGUAAAGAUUAAUAAAUCAUAAAAUAUUAUCUUUUUUAGCUUUCCCCUUUGACUUGAAUUUCCACUGUCACACUUCCCUCUUUCACUGAAGAACGCUCUUUCACUAAACAAUGAAUGAGAUAAUGAACAACUGGUAAGAGAAGUGAAGAGAGUUGAGAAUGAAUUAUCUUCUGUGAUUUGGGAGAACAACACCCUAAAGAGUUGAAGUCAUAGAAGAACUGAGCAGAAGAAUUGAAGAUUUGAAGUCACUGAUAGUUCAAGUCGUCUCUCCGAUAAUGAAUUCUUGAAGAGAAUUGGAUACUUUGGGGUUGUUGGCAAGAUGAUGAAAUAAAGCUAAAUAGUCUCUUUGUCAAGUUUUUCUCUCCAAUUUCUCACUGAAGAGAAGGAUUUCAGACUGAUUUUGUUGGAAUAGGGUUUAUCAGUGCCUUUUUUAGCCUACCUUGUGAACACUAUCUACAGUAGAUCAGAUCAGUCUCAAAGUCCAUUGAUAAGGAGAAUUUCCAUUGUUGAAAGAAGGAGUUGAUUACUUUGUGGUUGUUGAAAUGAAACAAAUCACGAGUUACAACUAAAAUUCCAAAGAACGGGAAGAAUGUGUCAAAGAUCAUGAACAUCAAAGUGAGUCCUAUGCAUAUUCAGUAGGCGAGAUACAUUGAAUUACUACUUGGAAGCAUUUGAAUCACAAGUCGAUGCAGGGCAACUUCCCGGGCUUGUCGUUGAUAAAAAUAGAGUCGAAGUUUUGCAGCCUAUGAUACGAUAUUUGCUAUCAUUUGAUCUGAGCUGACUCUUUUGUCAUUCAUGUUUUGUAUGCUCACUGCAGAAUACAGAGACAUCACUGAUAUCUACAACUGGUAGUCUAUGAUCCUAUGAUACUUCCAAUGAGAACACUCCACCAACUGAUGAUCCAACAUAUAUUUCAUCUCUCGGAUCUGCUGUGUACAAAGCAAUGUCAAAAGCAAAUAGCAACGCAGUGUGGUUGAUGCAAGGCUGACUAUUUUAAACUUACUCCAAAACUGGAAGUCACCACAGAUGGAGGAAAAUGUUGUGGAUUGAGUUUUGAUGUCUAGAGGACAAAAGUACACUCGAUCUAUUGUAGUGAACGAUAAAGAGACUAUUAUCAUAAAUGUUGUUUGAAUACAUUUGGUUUUGUGGAAUGUAUUUCUAGUAGAUAUUUUUAAGUAAUUUCUUUCUAUAUGUAUGGACAUGUUCUUGAAGUUUAUUUAAUUUGAAUAUAUAAUUUUGGAUUAUUUAUAA